UCUACUGUUUUCUCUAAACUCGUUUGAUAUCUUUUCAUGAUUUCCGCAUACAUUCGAUCACUUGUCGUUGGCUCUCGCAGAGAUCCGGGACCUCUGGGAAAUUAGGGUUUUCCUAGUUUCCUUAUUUAAACGGAAAUCGACAGUGCAAAUUUCGGUUCCCACAACAACUCGAGAUGUUACAACCACAUUCAUAAUACCACUUUUCAUGUUUACACUAACCAUUUUUAUCCUCACUUUUAAAAAGGAAAAAAUAUAUUUAAACUCCAUGGUUAACUAAUCUAGAUUUAGGGUUUAGAGUUGAGGGGUGGUAUAUGGUUUUUGGAAUGUGAAAUUUAGGAUUUUAAUAAAUAUAUAAAUAAAUAUUUAAAAUUUUUUAAAUAGUUUCAAAAAAAAUUUGAUUUUCAAAAAGAAAUUUUGAAAAAAAAAUUAUAAAAAUAUUCAAAUUUGACAAAGUAUAAUUCGAAAACAUAAAAAAAAUAUAUUAUUUUUUAUUUUUUAUUUUAUUUAUUUAUUUGAAUAGUUACUUAUUACACAUAUAUAGAGAGAACAAAGAUAUAAGUUUUUUUACCUCUUAGUGGAAAAGAUAUUUUUGAAAAUGUCUCUUUAGUGAUUGUAAACAUAAAUAAUGUUACCAAUAAAAUAGUAAACAUGAAAAUUCCCAAUUAUGAUUUCAAAAGCCCAAGUAUUACUAUAUACUAGUGGUGUGUCCGCGCUACGCGCGGGAUCUAUGAUAAUUGUUCAACCAUAUGUUUAGUAAUGUGUUGAUGUUGAUAAUGUUAUACUGGGAAUUAGGUCCCGGAUUUUGUGGUGUUGAAAUGGUGGUUAUCAUUGUUGUGUUACUUGAUUAGUACUUAGGUGGUUUUAACUUAUGUACGGCUGUACGCAAUGAUUUAUGGUUUUUGAGUUAGUGGGUAGAGUAAGUUGAUUUGAAGAGAAAAUUUGGAAUGAUGUUCGACCAAUUAUAUUUUUGUAAGGCGGUUGUAUAGUUUGUGUUGUUGCCGUAGCCAUUUUUUAUAGUUUUGUAAGGCAUAUAACUUAAAUGCAACUGAUGGAGUUUAUUGAAGUUCAGUCUAUUCAAUUGUAUAUUCUUAGUGUGUUAUUACUGUGCAUAAGUAUGAAGUAGUGUUUGUUUGCCGUUUCUGUGUUAGUUUAUAUAUUAUUGUCCGUUAGUGUUCAGAAAUAUAUUUAAUUUUGCACAGACUGAUGACUGGAUAUUGUAAUGGUUUUUUGGUUAAAUGGUUGUGGGCUGUGUUUUGUUACUAUGUGCCAUGUAUUUGGACGACUAUUGAAGCACAAGAACUUGUUUGAUCUGUUGGUAUUGUUUGGAUUGGCUCGGAUUCAUUUUUAUCUAAUUAAUAAUUGUUUCUGGGUAAUAGGUAUGGAGUAAUUAUUUAUUUUUUGUUGAUACUUAGUUUCCCACUCUAUUUUUGGAGUAAAUUAUGGAGUAGGGAUGGAGAUGGUCUUUGUUUACGUGCUCUCUCAUAGGUGAACAAAAAAGGUUUAGUUUUCAUCUUAUGACACAUUCAUUUUCAUAGUGUCGGAUUUAACUAUUUUAAUACGAUUUUGUUAUGUAUAUGUGACUAAAUAAAACAUAACUUCAUCAUUUGAUGUGGUGUGACGGGGUUGACAUUUUAUAAUAAACAAAAAUUGAAAUUUAAAGUAAGAGUAACACAUAACAUAAAUUGAUUUUUUCUUAUAAUAAUGAUAUAUUUUUUAAUAAAUAAAAGUAAUUUUAAAAUAUUAAAAUAUAAAGAUAUUAAUAUAACUAAUUUUUAUGAUUUUAAAAAUUAAAAUCAAUUUUAUUUGAAAAGUAUUUCAUUGAUUAUAAAUAUAUAUAGAAUAUAAAAUAUUGUAUUUAUAUGAAUAUUUGGCCAAAUAAUAAGAAGAAAAUAAUAUAUGUGAAAUCUUAUAACAUUUUUAAAAUAUGUUGGUGCACCAAUUGAGUAUGAUUGUCUUUAUGAAUGAACAAAGCAGGGAUUUUAUUAUUACUUCUUAAUCUCAUGGGUCAUGGCCACCACUCGCGGGAGAGAAUGACGAUGGAAAUUCUUCUUGCUUUACUUUUUUUGUAAAUUUUCUUGCUUUACUGAAUUUUCAUAAUUUAAAUUCAGAAACGAAAUAUCUCCGUCUUUAUGCAUAAACACUUAAAAUUUGUCAACUAAUUCUUACAUUCUUCUUCGUAGAGAAAAACCUCAAAAGAAUAAGUAGAAGAUGCAUGAGUUCUCAUAAACGGUUUUUGUGGAAUCUGCAAGAUUUUUAAUUUUUUUGGAACACAACCUGCGAGUAUAUAUAUGUAAGUGUGUGUGCAGGUAAAAGAUCAAUUUGCAUAGAUAAGCUGGUUUCGUUUGGGAGGCUAGCACUGAGUCAAUACCUUGAAUGUUGUCUAUUUUCCAGGUACAUAAUCACUUUUUGUUUCUUUCUCCUCUGUAUGGGUGGGCACUUCGGUUAUUAUAUCGAUUCGGUUUAGGUUCGGUUUGGUCUGGUUAAUUUGGUUCUAAAAAAAUUUCCAACUGAAUUUAACCAUAAUUAGUUAGGUUUGGAUCGGUUUCGGUUCUGUUUGUAUUCGGCUUGAUUUGUGUUUCGGUUUCGUUCAAUCGGAUUCCCCUAGUUUAGUUCUUUUAAGAGAAAUCAUGUUUUAAAACAUAAACCCAUGGUCACGAAAUCAUCAUGUUGGUUACUAUGAAAAAAAAAAUUAUGUAAACUAAAUCCAAUGUAAAACUAAACAAAAAUCUUUUUAAAACCCAUAAAGUUUAGAAGAACACAAUCAGAUCAAAGUUAACUAUCAUAAAUAGAAAAUUAAAAAACAUUGCUAAUAAUUUCUCUUAAAAAUAAACUAUGUAAAUUAAAUCUAAUAGAAAACUGAAACAAAAACCUUAAAAAUCAUAAAAAGUUGAUAAGAACACAAUCAAACCAAAGUUAACUAAAUUAAAUAGAAAUUUUUUUUAAAUUUUUUUUUAAUAAAGUUAACAGUGACUUUAGCUUUAAACCGAACUAUUUAAUAAUAGACUUUGGUUUGGUUUGGAUCGGUUUCGGUUCAGUUUGUUCGGUUUUUUUGCCCACCCAUCCACGCAUGAGCCAAUAUUUAAACUCUGGAUUUAACACAUGCCUUCAUGUAUUUAUAGAAAUAUCUCAUUAAUUGUAUAUAUAUAUAUAUAUAUAUUUAUUAAAAUCAAAUUAGAUUUAAUUGGUGAAAUGUUAGAGUAAUAUAAUGACUACUGUAGAAAAUAUUUCUAUAGAUACCCAAAAGUCAUGAAGAAAAAGUCAAAAGUAGAAAUAUAAAUAAUUAUUAUUAUCGUUUCUCUUUUUUUUUAUCAACUAUUAGCAUUUUUCUCUAAUAAUGAAGAAGAAAAGUAUAGAGUGGGUAAACAUGUCACAUGAAUGCAUAGGUAUGAACAUGUCACCACUCCUCUUUUCUUCCAUCAUCUUGCUUCUGUCGUUUGACUCUCUCCUCACAUUUUUUGGCUUUUCAACAUUUUUCCUAGAACUUCAAUUGCUCUCUAAUUUCAAAAUUGAGACUCCAAAAAAAAAAUUUGUAUUCAUCUUUUCUUUUCCAUAGAUCUCACUCAAAAGUAGUAAGAAUAAAGUAUUUCUAAGUUUCCCUUUCUCUAUAAUGACUUUCUUUUUCUCUUAAUUUCCCUUUAAGUUUCACCAAAAUCUCUGUCUUUGUACAAAUAAAUACAUCGGAUCUUAACCUUCAAACAUGAUCUUCCGGAUAAAGCAUCUCAACAAAAGCAGUAAGUCACUGAAACGUAUGGAAAGAGGUAAACCCAAAAAGUCGGGCUUCAACGGUGUUGGCACAACAACUGGCUUUCAAGUCGGAUAACAAAAGGUUCAAGGUGGCUGUUUCAGAGUCUAAGGAGGAUUGAGCUUCACGGAGGAACACAUCCUUAUUUAUAGGACGUAGAUCUUCAUAGGACGACUCUGGUGAUGCAGUUAGACGUAGAAGCUAGAUAUGAUAUGGUAUUUUUGUUCCCCCAAAUUUUCAACAAAACUUUGGUGCAAAUUUUAGUGAACUAGAUUAUAUUAGAUUAAUGAUAAAGUAAGUUUUUUUUUUUGCUAAAUGGUAAAUAUUCAUUAAUGAAAAUGCUAGUUUCUACAAGCUGCUUAAGCCGCAAAGAAAAUGGCAAAAGACUUUUUGGAAUAUAAUGAAUGAAUAUCAUUUUCAAGUU